GAUGAACGCUGGCGGCGUGCCUAACACAUGCAAGUCGAGCGAUUUACUUCGGUAAAGAGCGGCGGACGGGUGAGUAACGCGUGGGUAACCUGCCCUGUACACACGGAUAACAUACCGAAAGGUAUGCUAAUACGAGAUAAUAUGCUUUUAUCGCAUGGUAGAAGUAUCAAAGCUCUGGCGGUACAGGAUGGACCCGCGUCUGAUUAGCUAGUUGGUAAGGUAACGGCUUACCAAGGCGACGAUCAGUAGCCGACCUGAGAGGGUGAUCGGCCACAUUGGAACUGAGACACGGUCCAAACUCCUACGGGAGGCAGCAGUGGGGAAUAUUGCACAAUGGGCGAAAGCCUGAUGCAGCAACGCCGCGUGAGCGAUGAAGGCCUUCGGGUCGUAAAGCUCUGUCCUCAAGGAAGAUAAUGACGGUACUUGAGGAGGAAGCCCCGGCUAACUACGUGCCAGCCGCCGCCAUAAUAC
rnacentral:rRNA from 1 species